GUAAGUACGCUUCCUGCAUCACAUAGCUCUCAGCCACUGACUGCUUAAAAGGUGGCUGCUUUCUUUGUCCGAGGCUCAGACUUUCCUGGACGCUAGUCCUACUGAGCCAGGUGAUCACCUUAAUAAAGGCUUUCCUGAACUCUGGUUGGUCUCUCCCGUCUCUGAUUGUCCCACAACAUUUCUGGGGGCUUGUCCAGGAUUGGAGAUGGCAGAUUUCUAUAUCCUUUGCCUGUGGGCUAGAGCCCCAGGAUGCAGGAGAUUUGAGACCCUUGGCACCACUGGGUAAGACUUAGCCCAGAAGGAGAACAGCUCUCCUGUGUCUUGGAGCCUUUCCCUGACAGUGCAAACAGAACCGACUUAGGAGUUGCAGGACAGUCACAGGAGCAGCGUGCAGGCAGACUACUGAACCAUGAAGCAUCCAGUCUACUAUUAAAGCAAUAGUGGACGGAACAACUACCACCAAAAUAAUGGCAUUACAAAAAUACCAACCAGUCCCCCAGGAAGAAUACGUGCCUACACAGGAAGAGAUAAACGACUGUGGUGCUCUUUAUCAAUCUACAUUUAUGGCGAGCACCAAAGGGGGGGGGAUGAAGAAGGAAUUCAUGAAUUUUACAAGUACAAUCAAAGACCACCAAGAAAUUUUUACUUUUUCCUUCAAAAGCUAAAUGUAGUUUAGAACCUGCACCCCACGUAGUCUAAGUUAGAGAACAAUACUAACUGCCUGUUUUUCCUUCUGUGCUCAGCAAGCCUUAUCUGUACUCACCAGUUUCACAUUCCUUGAGGCUCAGCGAGUUCCUGCUUCACCUCCCUAGCGCAGCUGCAAAGUUACAAGGUUGAUAAGCGUAUGUUACAGAAACAGAGUUUCCCAAGGAUGUAGAACAUGUAGUAUACAUAAAUGUAAAAGACUGAUCAACUGCCUUUGUUCUCACUUCUGUAAGUACGCUUCCUGCACCAGGUAGCUCUCAGCCACUGACUGCUUAAAAGGUGGCUGCUUUCUUUGCCGAGGCUCAGACUUUCCUGGAUGCUAGUCCUACUGAGCCAGGUGAUCACCUUAAUAAAGGCUUUCCUGAACUCUGUUCGUCUUUCCCGUCUCUGAUUGUCCCGCAACAGCAGAAAGGAAGACAUUUAUUUGCAGUGCACCAAGCAGGAAGGACCAGGUAGCUCGCUCUCAAAUCCUGACUUCCCCAGUAGCUUGCAGAGACAGGAUUUACUAUGUUGCCCAGGUUGGUCUUGAACUCAUGGACUCAAGCGAUCCUCCUGCCUUGGCCUGCCGAAGUGCUUGGAUUACAGUCGUGAGCCACUGCUCCCAGCCUGUACUGACCACAGGGCCUUCAAUACCCAAGGGAGAGAACUUGUAUGAAAACAAGUUAUGUCCCAUCCCCGUACCAGGUAAGAAAAUAAGUUUUAUCUGAUGCAUGGGAGUCCUUUUAAAUUAUCAGGCCCAAAGAGGCAUUAAAAUGAAAUAGCAAUCACGUCCUACUUUCCCCCACCCCAUUUUGAGCUAUGUGUUCAUCUCUUGAAAUUGCUUGCUAUUGCUAAAAGUAGCCAUAAAUUAACCUAACAGUGCUGCAACAGCCACUAUAACCCACACCCUAUAGCUUAACAAUGUAUAUAGCCAAUCAGCAGCUUAUGUUAUUUUGAUGGAAAUUCUUGGUAAACAACUCAGGAACUGCCUCUUCUUUCCCUUUAAAAAUCCACUUGUGGACCAGCACGAUGGACUCCUGAGAAGAGACAAUGUCAUGACCUCCUUUCUCUCUUCCUUGACAAAAGGAAGGUUCCGAUUGAACCAAAAACUUUAAUACUGUGAUACCCUACCUUGUUUUAACCUGAAUUUACUCUCCCUUAGCUGAGAGAGCCAGACAAACUCCAUUUUGGCUCCUUCACUUGCAGCCCCUUGCAGCCUCUUACCCACCCCCUUCCUCAAUGACUUAACUUGUGCAAGCUGACUCCCAGCACAUCCAAGAAUGCAAUUAACUGAUAAGAUACCGUGGCAAGCUAUACCCGCAGUUCCCAGGAAUUUGCCCGGUUGAUAGUACUCUAAGCCCCCCGCAUUUGUGUCUGGUUGAUAGUACCCAAAGCCUCCACAUCUAUCACCUUGUGAUGGAUUUAAAGCCCCUGCACCUGGAACUGUUUGUUUUCCCGUAACCAUUUGUCUUUUUAACUUUUUUGCCUGUUUUACUUCUGUAAGAUUGCUUCAGCUAGGCUCCCCCUCCCCUUUCUAAACCAAAGUAUAAAAGAAAAUCUAGCCCCUUCUUCGGGGCUGAGAGAAUUUUGAGCACUAG
rnacentral:lncRNA from 10 species